UAAGCGGAGGAAAAGAAACCAACAGGGAUUGCCCUAGUAACGGCGAGUGAAGCGGCAUCAGCUCAAAUUUGAAAUCUGGCUCUUUCAGGGUCCGAGUUGUAAUUUGCAGAGGGCGCUUUGGCGUUGGCAGCGGUCCAAGUUCCUUGGAACAGGACGUCACAGAGGGUGAGAAUCCCGUACGUGGUCGCUGGCCUUCGCCGUGUAAAGCCCCUUCGACGAGUCGAGUUGUUUGGGAAUGCAGCUCUAAAUGGGAGGUAAAUUUCUUCUAAAGCUAAAUACUGGCCAGAGACCGAUAGCGCACAAGUAGAGUGAUCGAAAGAUGAAAAGCACUUUGGAAAGAGAGUCAAAUAGCACGUGAAAUUGUUGAAAGGGAAGCGCUUGCAGCCAGACUUGCCUGUAGUUGCUCAUCCGGGCUUUUGCCCGGUGCACUCUUCUGCGGGCAGGCCAGCAUCAGUCUGGGCGGUUGGAUAAAGGUCUCUGUCAUGUACCUCCUCUCGGGGAGGCCUUAUAGGGGAGGCGUAAUGCAACCAGCCUGGACUGAGGUCCGCGCAUCUGCUAGGAUGCUGGCGUAAUGGCUGUAAGCGGCCCGUCUUGAAACACGGACCAAGGAGUCUAACAUCUAUGCGAGUGUUUGGGUGUCAAGCCCGAGCGCGUAAUGAAAGUGAACGGAGGUGGGAUCCCUUUAGGGUGCACCAUCGACCGAUCCUGAUGUCUUCGGAUGGAUUUGAGUAAGAGCAUGGCUGUUGGGACCCGAAAGAUGGUGAACUAUGCUUGAAUAGGGUGAAGCCAGAGGAAACUCUGGUGGAGGCUCGCAGCGGUUCUGACGUGCAAAUCGAUCGUCAAAUUUGGGCAUAGGGGCGAAAGACUAAUCGAACUAUCUAGUAG
rnacentral:sRNA from 1 species